rnacentral:rRNA from 1 species
UACGUAGGGCGCGAGCGUUGUCCGGAAUUAUUGGGCGUAAAGAGCUCGUAGGCGCUUGUCACGUCGGGUGUGAAAGCCCGGGGCUUAACCCCGGGUCUGCAUUCGAUACGGGCUAGCUAGGGUGUGGUAGGGGAGAUCGGAAUUCCUGGUGUAGCGGUGAAAUGCGCAGAUAUCAGGAGGAACACCGGUGGCGAAGGCGGGUCUCUGGGCCGUAACUGACGCUGAGGAGCGAAAGCGUGGGGAGCGAACAGG